UUCUAGCCUUUAUAAGAUUCGUGCUGUUGGGAGUUACAGCUAAUUAGAGAGAGAAAGCUUAGAGAUUAAAUCCUAGGAUCUCAGUUGGAACUUGGAAAAAAUCCUGGGGGUUUUCAAGAUGUCUCUAGUCAUCUGGCCAGAGAAUGACAGGAUCAAGAUUAUAGCCCACUUUUCCAGACAUCCUGUAUUAUUCUCUCUUCCUUGCCCUUAUUACCUUUCUUUCCCUUGCCCAAGGUACUCAACAUAUUUAUGGUUCAUGCACUGGAGUGUAUAGAAGACUUUAUGAAGUGGAUGGGGAGAGCUGUUAUCCUUGUCAUCCAGGCACAGAGAGAACCAACACCAUCUGUGAAAAGUGCCAGGCAGGGACAUUUUCCACGAAUGGGACCCUGGACCAAUGUUUGCCAUGGACCAAAACUGGGCCUGAUGACUAGAAGGAAAUGUUCAUUUAUAUCCAACGCUGUAUGUAGUUCUUCUUCAGGCUAUUUUUGCACUGACACAAAAGAUGAUAACUAUGAGAUAUAUAUGGGUCUCAGAGUCUGCAGCCCUGGCCCAUAUGUGAAAUCUAGAGAACAUAGGUGGUCACUCUCCCUGAUUUUUCAAGGAGGAGAGAACUCCAAAAAAGGAUCAAGCCUUCCCUGACUCCUCAAAAAUGGGUGAAAACAUCAUAAAAGGAGGUGAUUAUGCCCUUCCUGAUUUCUCAGGAAGGGCGAUGAAAACACCAAAGGAAAUGGGAAAUCAAAGCAGAUUAUUGAGUUUCUGAAGGGUCUCACUUGAAACAGCUCUCCAUUCUGACCAGUAACUGCAACCAAGAACUCCACCCUCCUGUAAGUAUCCACAGCCAGGAGUGCCCCUUCCCCCCCCCCCCCCAUUCCCCUGCCUCUGCACUCACCAAGUGCUGGUUACUUCCCAGCCAGGGUCUCAUCUCAGCAGAACAGCUGAGCCUGGCAUUCCCAAUCAGCCAAGGUUCACUCUGCCUUCCUGAACUGAAAAUCUGAAUCAAAAAACAGUUUGGAAAGCAAUUGCUCCAACUACAGCAGCUAGCCUGAGGAGUCCUCUACUUGAUGUUUCCGUGGCACUAGCCCGGAGGUGUCUGCACUUCAAACAGGUUAAUCGCCAGGCCAGAUUCUUUCUUCAGAACUUCUAGUGUUGUAUUAGGAGGACUCUCAUUUCCCCCCAAAGUCUUCUUGAUUUUUCAUCAAUCUAUCUUUGCCCAGAGGUGCAAAUUUGUUCCACUUGGGGAAAUCUUGAAAUUUGCCAACCUACUUCACUAUCUUCCCCAAAUCUUCCCCUCAUUGUUACAUUUUCAAUGCUUGUAUUGACAUUUCAGAAAUGGGGGAAAUAGAAUAAAUCAGAGCUUAAUUGAUUACUUUACUAAUUACUUAGUUUUAAGAAAGUGAUGGAGAAAAUUUUUGGUAAUUUUGGUUAAACAAAAAAAAAAAUACAUUCUUAUAUUCCUUUCUUUUGUCCCAAAGAAUUGGUUGUUAAAAUUUUACUUGUAAGGUGAAAGAAAGGUUAUGUAAUUUGCAUGAUGCAAAAACAAAACAUAUUUUAAAAAUAAUAAUAAAUUUCUUGCCACUGGCCUGGGAAGUGUUUCAAGAGUUAUUCUCAAUAUUCUUUGUUCUGACACAAAUCUUCCAGAGAAAGAGCCUAUAGAUAUAGGAUAUUCUAGCAUCCAUGUUUUGUUCUAAUUGUAUUUCUAUACUGAGCAUCCCAUGUGUCCUUCUCUUUUAGCCACAGAGUGAAACAGUAUCAUAUGUGAAAAGUGCCAGGUAGGGACAUUUUCCCCCAGUGGGAUCCUUGAUCAGUGUUUGCCAUGGAUCAUGUAGGUAUAACAUGUUCUCUUGGAAUUGGUGGCUAAUUCUUUUUAUUUAUUCAUUUAUAGUGAUUAAACAAAAACUUUGAUUUUAAUGAAUACCAAAUAAAAGAAAUGUUUCCAUACAUAAUGUAAAACAGGGGAAAAAAAGGAAAAGAAUGUCCAUGGGAGCAGGUAAACAUUUAACUAGAUCUAUGAGAAAUAAUAUAUAUUUUAGACACUAUGAUUAGGUUCAGACUAACUUUUGACCAAUUUUUCAUUCUUCAGGAGGAAGGAGAACUCUAAUAGCAAUGUUUUUAAUGUAGUCUUAGAAACCCCAAUGGAGGGACAGACAGAUAGAGACAAAGACAGAAUCGAAGAGAAACAGAGACAAACAGACAGAAAGACAGAAAAAGACAGUUGGAGACAGAGAAACAGAGACAGAAAAAUAGAGAGAUGAAAGGAGACAAGGUUGGAGGCAGAGAAACAGAGACAGAGACUUCUCCAUAUAGCUAAGAUACACCUAUGGUGUGGCCUGUUGUGUAGCUCAAAAGGAAGAAGACUAGCUAUCUCCAGCCUUUUCUCCUACCUGCACUUUUCCAAGGCAGAUUUCAAUUUUUGCCAGAACAGGAACAGGAAGUUGGAGCUGGGGGUCAUUUUGUUCUUCGUAGAGAGACUGGAUAUCCUUCACAUGUUAUUAGCCUAGGGUAUAUGACCAAAUUCAAUUUAAUUUCUGAUUAUUUUGUCUAUUUUUGGAGGAGGCAGGCAAACCCCAGGCUCUCCAUCCAAAACUUGAUCCCCUUGUCCAUUUGAUACCAUUUCUAAAAUGAACAUACAUCACAAAAACAGAGAAACCCAUUUUAUCUAAAUUGUGGCCAAAAAAAAUAGAUCAAAGAAGAUAUAUAUGGGAGAAUAUAUAUCAAAUAAUAAAGAGAUAGAAGCUUUCUUCCCUGAAAGUGAAAUAACUUAGCUCAACCAAGAUAGAGUUCUAAGCCUCAGCCAAUGGGAAACUCCCCCAAAUCUCAGUGUACUAAGCUGGAGGGAAGAUAUGAUAAAGGCUGUUGGUUCCUCUCAUGUCUUCCCAUAUUUGAAGAGUCUCCCACAAAUAUUUGAAGGUUGAUGAGUACUGAAAAGGAUUGAUAAAGGUGGACUUUCCCCACCAACUCUGCCCCAUCAAUUUCUGCAGCACAGGACGUUCAGCUCCAACAAUCAGGAGUGCAUCUCAUAUCAGUGGUCACUGGAACAGUAAUAGGUAGCAUUUCCAUAGCACUUGCUCAGUAUUGUCUUAAAAGAGCCUUAUAAUACUAGGAAGAGGGUGCCAUUAUUAUCCUUAUUUUAAAGAUGAGGAAACUGAGGCAAACAGAUGUUAAAUGAGUUAAUCAAGAUCACAUAGCUAUGAAAUGACUAAAUUAAGAUUUGAACUCCCAUGUUCCAGAUUGUAGGAACAGCACUCUGUCUACUGGUUUACUGGUCCCAAGUGAAAAGACAGAUAGACAGCAAUCUCUGACUGUCAGAUCUUUUUUGAAAAGUUGAUUAUUUUAGCCCAUUGACAUUGGUUCCAUUCAGUCUUAUUAAUUUCCUUUUUCUGUUAGAUUGGGCAGUGGGGGAUACAGAGCUUGUCUUGGAGGCUAGAAGCUUCAAGUUCUGUCUCUUAGACAUAGAAACAUUGUCUCACAGGCAGGCCAUGCUCCUUCAAAGACCUAGCUAACAAUCCAAGGCCCUCAGUCCCUGACAAUUCCUACAUCUGGAGAAGGUAUUUCUGCACAGGGAAUCUCCCAUGUUAAUGAAAAUACAGUUCCCUCCCUCACCCUGCAAAAAGCAACCUUAUUACAUGGUUUUAAUUUGUCUAAAUCUUUUUGGAUCCUAACUCUGGACACAAUGACUUUCUAAACAAACAUGGAGGCCCCUCUCCUAGAGUUUUAUUAUAAAUGAAUAUGGGAGGUGUGCAUGUCUGUUUUCAUCUACUUUUCUCCCUUUAUUUGGGACACUCUGCCCCUCUCUCUGGAAGUUAUUUUGGCAACUGAGUCUCAUGGCUGUCUGCAACUGGGAGAGGAAGUGGAUUGCUCAGUUUUGCUGGGCUGAUGGGAACGUAUCCAUAUUCAGUGACACAUGUCCUCAUCUGUCUUCCUAGUUGUACUGCCCAGGGUCUAUCUGAAGAAAGGCCAGAGACAGAGAUCACUGAUGCAUUGUGCUCACCAAGCAGUUAUCUUCAAAUCAGAUAUAUUUUGCUCAUUCCUUUCAUCACCAUCACAUGGUCUUCAUUUUGGUGCUGAAGCUAUUUUGUAGAAGGAAAAAAGAACCAGGAGGUUUUACCCACAUCACAACUAUCCACAACUACUCUUAAGAACUGAAACGAUGAAAUAAAUUGUGAAAAAUCCUAUCCAUACACAAAGAAAGAACUAAUUAUGUUUGAAGCUUUUCUCUCUCUCUGUUUUUCUCUCUUUCUCAUUAAUCUUUUUUGAGGGUUUUUUAUUUACAUUAGAGCAAAAGUUUUUUUUUAAACAACUUGAUUUUUAUGGAAAUGUUUUGCAUAACUUCAUAAGUGGUUUCCCAAUUGAGGAUGGGGAUAAGGGAAAGAAGCUAGAACUCAAAAAUUCUAGAAACAUGUAAUUCUUUUUUUUUUUUUUUUUUGCUUUGAAUGUAAUUGGGAAACUAUUGAAUAAAUAAAACAAAAC